CUGUUGGGUAGGGGAGCGUUCUGUAAGCGGAUGAAGGUUAAUCGAGAGGUUAGCUGGACGUAUCAGAAGUGCGAAUGCUGACAUAAGUAACGAUAAAACGGGUGAAAAACCCGUUCGCCGGAAGACCAAGGGUUCCUGUCCAACGUUAAUCGGGGCAGGGUGAGUCGGCUCCUAAGGCGAGGCUGAAAAGCGUAGUCGAUGGGAAACAGGUUAAUAUUCCUGUACUUGGUAAAGCUGCGAUGUGGGGACGGAGUAGGUUAGGUUAUCGCACUGUUGGAUAUGUGCGUUUAAGUUGGUAGGUGGGAAGUUUAGGCAAAUCCGGACUUCUAUAACACUGAGAGAUGAUGACGAGGCUCUACGGAGCUGAAGUAACUGAUACCACACUUCCAGGAAAAGCCACUAAGCGAAAGGCUUUACUAAACCGUACUGAAAACCGACACAGGUGGUCAGGUAGAGAAUACUCAGGCGCUUGAGAGAACUCGGGUGAAGGAACUAGGCAAAAUAGCACCGUAACUUCGGGAGAAGGUGCGCCGGCGUAGAUUGUAAGGGCUAGCCCCUGAAGGUUGAACCGGUCGAAGAUACCAGCUGGCUGCAACUGUUUAUUAAAAACACAGCACUCUGCAAACACGAAAGUGGACGUAUAGGGUGUGAUGCCUGCCCGGUGCUGGAAGGUUAAUUGAUGGUGUCAUCGAAAGAGAAGCACCUGAUCGAAGCCCCAGUAAACGGCGGCCGUAACUAUAACGGUCCUAAGGUAGCGAAAUUCCUUGUCGGGUAAGUUCCGACCUGCACGAAUGGCAUAAUGAUGGCCAGGCUGUCUCCACCCGAGACUCAGUGAAAUUGAAAUCGCCGUGAAGAUGCGGUGUACCCGCGGCUAGACGGAAAGACCCCGUGAACCUUUACUAUAGCUUGACACUGAACAUUGAAUUUUGAUGUGUAGGAUAGGUGGGAGACUUAGAAGUAGGAACGCCAGUUUCUAUGGAGUCAUCCUUGAAAUACCACCCUUUAACGUUUGAUGUUCUAACGAAGACUACGGAACGUGGUCUCGGACAGUGUCUGGUGGGUAGUUUGACUGGGGCGGUCUCCUCCCAAAGCGUAACGGAGGAGCACGAAGGUUUGCUAAUCACGGUCGGACAUCGUGAGGUUAGUGCAAUGGUAUAAGCAAGCUUAACUGCGAGACAGACAAGUCGAGCAGGUACGAAAGUAGGUCAUAGUGAUCCGGUGGUUCUGAAUGGAAGGGCCAUCGCUCAACGGAUAAAAGGUACUCCGGGGAUAACAGGCUGAUACCGCCCAAGAGUUCAUAUCGACGGCGGUGUUUGGCACCUCGAUGUCGGCUCAUCACAUCCUGGGGCUGAAGUAGGUCCCAAGGGUAUGGCUGUUCGCCAUUUAAAGUGGUACGCGAGCUGGGUUUAGAACGUCGUGAGACAGUUCGGUCCCUAUCUGCCGUGGGCGUUGGAUGAUUGAUUGGGGCUGCUCCUAGUACGAGAGGACCGGAGUGGACGCAUCACUGGUGUUCCGGUUGUGUCGCCAGACGCAUUGCCGGGUAGCUAAAUGCGGAAGAGAUAAGUGCUGAAAGCAUCUAAGCACGAAACUUGCCAAGAGAUGAGUCAUCCCUGACUUUAAGUCAGUAAGGGUUGUUGUAGACUACGACGUAGAUAGGU
rnacentral:rRNA from 1 species